GGCNUGAGGUACUGGAAGGUCCUCAGGCCGAAAGGGGCUCUGCCCGCCCGAGGAUGGGCCGGCGGCCGAUUAGGUAGUUGGUGGGGUAACGGCCCACCAAGCCGAAGAUCGGUACGGGCCAUGAGAGUGGGAGCCCGGAGAUGGACACUGAGACACGGGUCCAGGCCCUACGGGGCGCAGCAGGCGCGAAACCUCCGCAAUGCGGGCAACCGCGACGGGGGGACCCCCAGUGCCGUGGCAACGCCACGGCUUUUCCGGAGUGUAAAAAGCUCCGGGAAUAAGGGCUGGGCAAGGCCGGUGGCAGCCGCCGCGGUAAUACCGGCGGCCCGAGUGGUGGCCGCUAUUAUUGGGCCUAAAGCGUCCGUAGCCGGGCCCGUAAGUCCCUGGCGAAAUCCCACGGCUCAACCGUGGGGCUUGCUGGGGAUACUGCGGGCCUUGGGACCGGGAGAGGCCGGGGGUACCCCUGGGGUAGGGGUGAAAUCCUAUAAUCCCAGGGGGACCGCCAGUGGCGAAGGCGCCCGGCUGGAACGGGUCCGACGGUGAGGGACGAAGGCCAGGGGAGCGAACCGGAUUAGAUACCCGGGUAGUCCUGGCUGUAAAGGAUGCGGGCUAGGUGUCGGGCGAGCUUCGAGCUCGCCCGGUGCCGAAGGGA
rnacentral:rRNA from 1 species